GCUCCAUUAGCUCAGCUGGUUAGAGCGCCGUGCUUAUAGUGCAAACACGCUAUGCAAGAGUCACGCGGAUGUCGGCAGUUCGAUCCUGCCAUGGAGCA
rnacentral:tRNA from 1 species